ACCAGGUAAUAAUGUAUUCUUUAUGUUGCAGUGUACUGUUGCUAUAGGAGAAGGAGUGUCCCACCUCCACAGUGCUUCCAGGAGGGCAAAACACAGUUGCACCAGGCCCCUUGUCUCUGUGUCCUGGUCAUAUAUUCUUGCUCUCUCAGCUAGUCCUGAAGUAUUGGGAUAUAAUAAUCAAUUAGCUACAAAAUACGCAGACCAAUGAUGACAGCUGUCUAGCAGAAGUAAUAAGAUUUUAUAUUCCCAUAGUUGCUUUCCAGCCAUGUUUGUAAGAACCGUUUAAGCCUGACACAUCAGAAGCAACCUAAAAGGUUUGUUCCAUUAACAUCCUUUAUCAAAGGACCAAAAUAACGACACUGGCUUUAGAAGAUGGCAGUGCCUGUAGUCAUGGCAACAGAAAACUUGGUGUAUACUAGCCUCUCAGUGUACUCUGAAAUGACAGCGAGAGAGAUCAAGCAUUUUCUUAAUGGAUGACGGAGUUAGCAGUAAAGGUCUAUGACUUGCUAGUUUUCAGUCAGCAACCUCUUCAGUAGUGAAUAUGCUAAUUCAUCAUUAUGCUUUUCAAAUCUGAAAAUGCAUUUACAGUGUACCCUCAGGAAGUCUGCCUUGGCCAAUCUGCUAGCUAUGCGUUAAAGCAGGAUUAAGCACAACAACCUACCCUUUACUGUAGGACACCCAGCCAGCCCCUGCAGAAGAGGACAGAGAGGCACCCUGCACCACAGCAACUCACAAAAUCUAAUUGUCAUCAGCUCUGUAGGUUUCAAAACAAACCAGUACAGUGGUUGGUUUAUAAAAUAAACUACUCUGAGGAAAAGUAAUGAUGUGAUUCAUGUUUAAAGCCUGCAAAUAAGAGUAGCAAGUAAUAAGACAGAGUGAAAAACCUCAUGUUUCUUUAGCCUAAGUAGUCUGCUUGGGUCUGAUGCAAAGUUGUGCAUCUCCUGAAUAAAAGGCAAAACGGGAAAGACAACUUGCAGCUCUGCGAAAUCUCC